CACGUAGGGGGCAAGCGUUUGUCCGGAUUUAUUGGGCGUAAAGAGCUCGUAGGCGGCUUAGUAAGUCGGGUGUGAAACCUCCAGGCUCAACCUGGAGACGCCACCCGAUACUGCUGUGGCUAGAGUCCGGUAGGGGAGCGUGGAAUUCCUGGUGUAGCGGUGAAAUGCGCAGAUAUCAGGAGGAACACCGGUGGCGAAGGCGGGUCUCUGGGCCGAUACUGACGCUGAGGUGCGAAAGCGUGGGGAGCAAACAGG
rnacentral:rRNA from 1 species